rnacentral:lncRNA from 7 species
ACAUGGAUGUGGUUGAACAACCUCAGCUUGCAAGUAUGUGGUCGGAGAUGCCGGCUUAGCACCUGCAUGUAAAUCUUGUUUGCUGGACAGAACAAAGAGUGAUUGACUUCACAAGAUACAGAGAUGGUUCUAGUUGGGCAAAACAACAAACUCUGAACCCAGAUUACAAACACACUGAAGGCAAAUGGAUCAGACUGAGGAUGGUAUGCUGCUGGAAGAUACAGAUCAGAAGCAGUCAUCUUCUGUGGGCUGGAAAGUGAGAACUGUAACAGUAUAAAAACCAUUUGUAGGCUUUCUGUGCUCAUCUCCUUUAUCCUCAGGGUUGUUUUGAUGUGCUUUUUCCCCCCUUGUUGAUGUUUUCUUGCCUAGGUACCUCUACAGUACCAAAUCAUUAUUUUUAUAUUGUUAUACCAAAAUGCUCUUUCCUAUAUGCAGUGGACCUGCCAGAAUGAGAAGAUAUGCCAGGCUUUAAUGGAAUGAUGCUUUGCAAGAAAAUACAGAGAAUUUUUUUUUUAAGCAUCACAAGUACGUUUGUGCUGAAUAGUUGUAGCAAAAAGAAAAAAAAAUACUACCAGCAUCUACAGCAGUUGAACAUUUCAUGAUCAAUAUUUAGCAUAUGAAUAAUGUUUUAAUUACUGUCAUUUGUUCCUAUUCUUGAAAAGAAAGAGGUAUUUGUUUAUGCUUUAAAUCAAAAAGAUGAAUUUGUUUGUUUC